UCACCUCUCUAAUUUAAAAUGCAUGAAAAUUAAUACUUUGUUUUUGUUUUUUUUUUGGAAACAGUCUCACUCUGUCACCCAGGCUGGAGGGCACAAUCUCUGCUCACUGCAACCUCCACCUCCUGGGCUCAAGCCUCAAGCAAUUCUCCUGCCUCAGCCUCCCAAGUAGCUGGGAUUACAGGAACCCACCACCACGCCCAGCUAAUUUUUGUAUUUUUAGUAGAUGGGGUUUCAUCAUGUUGGCCAGGCUGGUUUUGAACUCCUGACUUCAAAUGAUCCACCCACAUCCACCUGCCAGAGUGCUGAGAUUACAGGCGUGAGCCACCGCACCUGGCCAAUGUUCUUUUAUAUACUCAUGUUUUCUAACAAAACAGCUUUGGAUUUAUAAUGCUGCCAGAUGUCAUUACAAUUUUUUUUCUAAAUUCAAAGGUAAUUAUUCUAAACAAUAAAAGGGCACCUGGAAUUUUCAGAACAUUAAAAAACUGAAACCACUUAGAAGAAAAGAAGAAACCUAAAUGUCUGUGGAAGUGAUCAGUAUUAAGUGGGUGAUGGCUCUUUCAUCUUCCUUAUCCCUAAAGAUACUUCCAACAUAUUGUUAGAGUAAGUAUUAAAAGAAAAAGUAGGUUUGCUGAAAAACAUUACUAAAUGACUUGGAGCUCUCCAGUCAAAGAAACAAAGCUAAUUGAAAUAAUGUACAUUUGGUUCAGUCUGUCAGGCAAGUACAAAUCCAUAACAAAAAAAAUUAAUAGUAUGCUCUUUGCUUUGGAAUCUCUAAUUUACGGUCAUGCCCUAAGUCACAGGAUGAUUAUUAGGGAAAUGUCAUUGACACCUGAAAAUUACCUAUCCUGUAAAAAGACUGGUGAAAUUCAACAUGUUUUAAAUAAUUUAAUUGCAUUAUAGCAUAUAAACUAUAAAUGAAAAUGAUCUUUGUCUUUCCUUUAUCUUGCUUUAUCCUCUUAUCCAAUUCUAGACUCUUAAAUAAUCACUGUAUUUUUCUCAAGUAUUUGUUAUUUUUUAUUAUCCUUUAGAUCUUUUUGUUCAUGGCUCUUUAAAAAUAGUUUUACUGAUAAUCCAAUCACUUGGAUAGUUAAUUUUAUUACUUUUUGUUUCCUUUUUAAUAUUUAUUCUUCCCGUUAAGGGUUUUUUGGCUAUAAAUUCGUACUUGAUAAGCUAUGUUAUUUCUUUGUGUAAUUUAAUAGUAGCAUUCUGGAGUAGAUUCUUUUUUUGUAUUCUGGCCUUGGAAUACUUUAAUUCCGGACCAAAAGAGGUCAAUUUUGUGAGUAUUGCCUAUUAAGUAAACAACAUCCCUCAUUUUUAAUCCAAAUAUCAAUUUGACAGAAUAACAAGGGUCAGAAAUUCAAAAUAGCUGUUAGACACCUUUGAUUCUUUGCUGCUCUCUGGUUAUGUAUGUGUGUUGUGCAUCUUCCUUGUUGUUUUAGAGUUUCCUAAAUUUUUUGCUUCUGGGGACUUGAGUAUUUUUAAAUGUUCUUAAAAUUAUAUGAAUCUAAAAAAAAAAAAGUGUAAUUAGAAAUGGAAAUCUAGGUAAAGGAAGCUUUAAAAUGUUGUAUUUUUUCCCUGAAAUAAACUUUUAUGAUUUAAUGUCUUGGAAAAAGACUCACAUGAAAAGUGGCUUUUAUAUUUGGUAGGAUAAAGCCAUUGUCCUUUAAUACCAUAGCAAAUAGAAGCAAUUUUUAAUGAGGUUACUGAAUUGUUUAGUAUUCCUAAUAUGGCAUCCAGGUCAUCUUUUCUUUUCUCCAACCAUUAUUAAAAUAACUUGACACUUUGGGAGGCCAAGCUGGGCAGAUCACCUGAGGUCAGGAGUUUGAGACCAGCCUGGCCAACAUGGUGAAACCCCAUCUCUACUAAAAAAAAUACAAAAAUUAGCGGGGCCAUGGUGACGUGCACCUGUAAUCCCAGCUACUCGGGAGGCUGAGGUGGGAGAAUAGCUUGAACCUGGGAGGCAGAGGUUGUGGUGAGCCAAGAUCACGCCACUGCACUCCAGCCUGGGUGACAGAGCAAGACUCCAUCUCAAGAAAAAAAUAAAUAAAUAAUAAUUUGUGUAUGUGAUGACUGACUCUAGUCAUUAUGGAAAAUAACUUUUGGCAGUUUAGUUCCUAAUGUUAACAAUUCCUCUUUUUAAGAGAGGUACUACAUUUGAUUUCUCAAUUUCUCAGUUUGUUUUCAAUACAAACAGCAACCACUGAAAUGCAGAAAAUGGUAAUCAAGUGUGAUGUUUCUAUAAAAAUAAUUGAGAUUCACAUGUAAUAGACCCUUUAGCUUUAAUGAGCAGACAUGAGAAUGGUUUAUGAUCUUAAGUUGGUAACAUAGGAAUAUGUAUUUGUCAAUUUUAGUUCACAAACAUAUCCAUAAGAAUGUUUACACAUGGCAGUAUCAAAGCAUAUAAAAUAUUUUCUAUGUAAGUAAAUUGCAUCUUUAUGCUAGUGAACAAAGUAGCAAUAAAUGUUCAUUUUUGGAUGGCAGUACACAUUGUUAACAAUCGUGUAAUUAUAAUAAAUAUGUCUACCUACUCCUUGAACCAU
rnacentral:lncRNA from 1 species